rnacentral:rRNA from 1 species
AUGCUGCAGCGCGCGGCGAGCAACGCCUACUCGUGGUGGUGGGCGAGCCACAUCCGCACCAGGCAGUCCAAAUGGCUCGACAGCAAUCUCCAAGAUAUGGAAGACAGGGUCAAGUGCAUCCUCUUACUCCUCGGAGAGGAAGCAGAUUCUUUCGCAAAGAGGGCAGAAAUGUAUUACAAGAGGCGACCAGAGGUGAUCAGCUCCGUGGAAGAAGCGUACCGGGCAUACAGAGCCCUUGCAGAACGCUAUGACCACAUGUCAGGAGAGCUACACAAAGCAAACCACACGGUUGCAACUGCCUUCCCUGACCAGGUUCAGUAUUCUAUGCUAGAAGAGGACGAUGACAGUCUCCCGAAGGCGUUCACGACGGUUGAUCCUCGUAAAAUCCACAAGUCGACGGUCGAGGGGCUGAUGAAUAAGAAGAAAGGAAGGAAACCAGGACAGAAAGAUGGAGGAAAGAAUUGCGCAGCUCCGGACAACAAGGAGAAUGCGCAGAAGGAGGUCAGCAGGAUGCAGAAAGAGAUAUUGGUGCUGCAGACUGAGAAAGAGUUCAUCAAGAGCUCUUACGAGAGUGGAAUAGCAAAGUACUGGGAUCUUGAAAAGCAAAUCAACGACAUGCAUGAAGAAGUCUGCUACUUCCAGGAGGAGUUCAACGAAAGCGCGGUGAUCGAAGAUGAUGAGGCCAGAGCUUUGAUGACAGCGACUGCCCUUAAAUCUUGUGAAGAAGCCAUUGCCAGAUUGCGGGAACAGCAGAAGUUAUCGUUCAGCCAAGCAAUGGUUGAGCUGGAAAGGGCCAGUGUUUCCAGAGAGAAACUGAAGAAUAUCAUGAAAGAGCAUGGUAAAUUCCUUUCAGAUUCAGGAAAUUCUCUUCACGAGAAUGUGAGAAAUGAUGCCAGCGUUAAGAUGGAUGAUGCGUACUAUAUGAAGCAGGAGAAAAUUGGAAUGGAAGCAAUAGUAGAUAAGAUCAAGGAAUACUUUCAGAAAGACACUUGUAUUUCCGUGGCAGAGAUUGCAGAGAAAAUUGAUGACAUAGUCAAUAAAGUUGUGGACUUGGAACUCAUGGUUUCAUCACAGACUGCUAAGAUAGAUAGGUUGUGUCUGGAAAACACAGAGCUGGAGAUGUCACUGCAGGAACUGGAGGGACAGAAGGCAGCAGUAACCAGUGGCUCAGGUGAACUGAAUGACAAGCUAGAGAAGGCAGAAGAUGAGCUGAUGAGAGUGCAGUACCUUGAGAGCUCCUUCCAUGCAGAAGAAAACAUAGUCUAUUCAAAUUUCGCUGAAACUGCAAGUAGUUUCUGUUGUAUUACAGACUUGUUGCAGUCACCUCCUGUUGAGCACCAAGGUGGUUCUGCUCCCAGGCUGACUCAUGAAGCGACACCAUCCGCUGACACUGCAUCAUCUGGCAAGUGCGAGAAAACAGAACCUGAAGAAGAUCCUCAGAUGGAUAAAGCUACAACAAAGCCUGACAUAGAUGGGGUCCCUGAUAAUUCUGGUAAGUUGGAGCCAGCUACGGUCAGUGAUAACUGUCACCAUGACAUCAAGGAAGAAAGGCAAUACUGUGUAGAUGAUUUGGAGGAUUUGUGGGAUUGCGGGCUUGAAAGAAAGUCGAGCUUUGCAGUUGCAUCGGUAAAUAAGGAAACAGCAGAAGAUGUUAUUACAGAUAUGUUGCAGUCACCUCUUACUGAGCACCAAGCUGGUUGUGUGCCGACACUGACUGAUGAAGCAACACCAGCCCCUGACACCGAACCACCUGGCGAGUGUGAGAAAAUAAAACCAGAAGAAGAUCCUCAGAUGGGUAAAGCUACAAGAAAGCCUGACAUAUAUGGACUCCCUGAUUGUUCCAGUAAGUUGGAGCUAGCUACAGUCAGUGAUAACUCUCACCAGUCUAACUGUUACAAUGACAUUAAGGCAGAAAGGCAUGACAGCACAGAUGAUUUGGAGGAUCUAUGGGAUUGUGGGUUUGAAAGAAAUGCUAGCUUUGCAGUUGCAUCAGUGAAUAAGGAAACAGCUGAAAAUGCAGACAAUGAUACUACCGAUAUGUUGCAGUCACCUCUCACUGAGCACCAAGCUGAUUAUGCGCCCACAAUGACUGAUGAAGCAACACCACCCGCUGACACCGAACCAUCUGGUGAGUGUGAGAAAAUAAAACCAGAGGAAGAUAAUCAGAUGGAUAACGAUACACAAAAGCUUGACAUAGAUGGAUUCCUGGAUUGGUCUGGUAAGUCAGAGAUAGCUAUCAUCAGUGUUGAUUCAGAGAAUUUGUGGCAGUUUGAGCUUGACGGUAAAUCUAGCUUUGCAGCUGCAUCAGUAGAUAAUGGAACAGCAGAAAAUGCAGAUAACAGUACAUCUGGUGAACAUAACAAUACAGAAGUGAAAUAUAAUCAUGGAGCCAUUGGCAGGAACAUGCAACCAUAUGUUGUACAUUCCCAUGAGCAAGGUUCAGUAGAUCGAUUGCAUCAAAGUUCACCUGAAGUCCCAUGGGAUCACGACCUAAAACUAGUGGAUGGCAAGCAAGAUUCAUUGACAGUGGUUCAUAGCACUUUUGGAGGCCACUCAGAACAAGAUAUGAACAUAGAAGAACGGUUAGAAGACUCGCAUUUCACUGAAAAUUUCACUCCUGGCAAUGGAAAAACUGUUGGUGUUGGAGAUCAAGAGAACAACAUGGCUAAUAUGCAGCAGUUGCUUAUGAGUGAACUCCAAGACAAGGAAAUGGUACUAUUAACCGAGUGCAAGAAAAAAGAAUCAGAAGAAGAUCCUGGGAUGGGUAAAGCUACAAGGAAGCCUGAAAUAUAUGGAUUCACUGAUUGUCCCAGUAACUCGGAGCUAGCAAACAACAAUGACAACACGCAGCCAUCUAACAGUUACCAUGAAAUUAUGGCAGAAAAGCAUGACAGUGCAGGUGAUUCAGAGGAUUUGUGGUAUUUUGGGCUUGAAAGAAAAUCUAGCUUUGCAGCUGCAACAGUAAAUAAGGAGAAGGCAGAAAAUGCAGACAAUCGUGCAUUUGGUGAACAUAACAAUAAAGAAGUGAAAUAUGUUCAUGAAACUGUUGGUAACAAUGGCAGCAGCAUGCAAUCCUAUGUUGUUCAUUCCCAUGAGCAGGGAUCAUUAGAUCGAUUGCAUCACAUUUCAUCUGAAGUCCCAGGAGAUCAUCAUGUGAAGUCAGAGGACGACAAGCAAGAUUCAUCAACAGCGGAUUAUAGCAUUUCCAAAGGCCACUCAGAAGAGGAGAUGAAGAAAGCAGAAGAGUCAGAAGACGCACAUGCCACUGAAAAUUCAAUUCCUGGCAGUGAAAAAGCUGAUGUUGUUAGAGAUCAAGAUGGGAACAUGGCUAAUCUGCAGAAAUUGCUUAUGAGUGGACUCCAAGACAAGGAAAAGGUACUACUGACCGAGUACACUUCUAUCCUCCGAAAUUACAAAAAUGCAAAGAGAAGGCUUACAGAAGUGGAGUUAAAGAAUCAGGAAUGUUUGGAUGAGAUGAAAGCCAUGAUGAGCGAACUACGCUCUGCCAAUGAAUUGAAGGAUAAGGAGAUUCGGUCACUACGUGAACUCCUGAACACUUCUACUGUCAAAGAUGCACAGCAGAAUGGCCAUCAAAUGAAUACAUACACGUCCUUGAGUAUCAAGAGUGGGUCCUUCAGGGGGCACCGAAGGAUCCCAAGCUUUUUGCCUGGUCAUCAAAGGAGACAAAGUGCUUCUUCGAGUUUGAGGAUAAUCAUGAAGAAUUCUAGCCCCAAGAACAAAGAUGACGCAUCACAUGAUGCUGUUUUCGAGCCAGAAAGAAUCGGUAUGGGUGACAUCAGAUUAACUAAUAUUCUUGACAUACAGAACGCCUCACCUCUUGAGGACAAGUUCAGAAGAGACAUCGAUGGACUUUUGGAAGAGAACCUAGAGUUCUGGAUGAAGUUCAGCACAUCAUUCGAAAAGAUACUAGAAUUGCAGACCAAGCAUGAUCAGCUACAAUCAGAGAUUGGCAAGCGAACAAACGCGGACAAGCUCAAGGAAAACAGCGGUGGCACAGGUGAUCCUCUUGCAGAAGCUCAACCCGAAACCAUAGAGAAGCGCCUAAGGGAACUUAAGAUUGAAAUGCAAGUAUGGCUGGAACAGAAUGCGAUGUUCAAAGGGGAGCUCCAGUGCAGGUUUGCUUCCCUCUGCGGUAUACAAGAGGAAAUCCAGGCCGCAAUGGAGAUGGAUGCAGAGACUGUGGAAGGGAUUCAGUUCACCUCAUACCAUGCUGCCAAAUUCCAAGGGGAGAUCUUGAGCAUGAAGCAGGAGAACGACAAGGUUGCGGAUGAACUGCAGGCUGGCUUAGAUUAUAUAAGAGGGCUACAAGAAGAAAUCGAAAAGAUCCUGGCAAAGAUACUGAAGAGCACCAGCUUAUCUGGGUCGAAAGGCAGCAGCCCUUGGAGGAAUGCACCCUCUAAGUCACGAGUGCCGCUCCGGUCGUUCCUGUUUCCAGCCAAGAAAAAGAAACCAUCGCUGUUGGCAUGCAUGAAUCCGGCACUUCAGAAGCAGUACAGUGACAUGGCAUUCUUCGCUAAAAUGGAAUAG